GUGGACCGCAGAUCCUUAGCAUUUAAAGUCCCGGUUCUCGGUCCUAGGGUGUGGCCUUAGCUGUGUUUGCAAAACACACGUUUCUACUAUAAUUAUCCAAAUGCAUGACUGCCAAACUGUAGUGGACUUGGCACUUGCUCUGUGUGUGUGUGUGUGUGUGUGUGUGUUCCUCAUGGUUAUUCUGUGUGUGUGUGUGUGUGUGGUCCUCAUGGUUAUUCUGGGUCACACCAAAUCUCUCUCUCCUUUUUUUUUCCCCUCCAAAACACACGUUUCUACUAUAAUUAUCCAAAUGCAUGACUGUCAAACUGUAGUGGACUUGGCACUUGCUCUGUGUGUGUGUGUGUGUGUGUGUUCCUCAUGGUUAUUCUGUGUGUGUGUGUGUGUGGUCCUCAUGGUUAUUCUGGGUCACACCAAAUCUCUCUCUCCUUUUUUUUUCCCCUCCAAAACACACGUUUCUACUAUAAUUAUCCAAAUGCAUGACUGUCAAACUGUAGUGGACUUGGCACUUGCUCUGUGUGUGUGUGUGUGUGUGUGUGUGUUCCUCAUGGUUAUUCUGUGUGUGUGUGUGUGUGGUCCUCAUGGUUAUUCUGGGUCACACCAAAUCUCUCUCUCCUUUUUUUUUCCCCUCCAAAACACACGUUUCUACUAUAAUUAUCCAAAUGGAUGACUGUCAAACUGUAGUGGACUUGGCACUUGGUGUGUGUGUGUGUGUGUGUGUGUGUGUGUUCCUCAUGGUUAUUCUGUGUGUGUGUGUGUGUGUGUUCCUCAUGGUUAUUCUGUGUGUGUGUGUGUGUGUGGUCCUCAUGGUUAUUCUGGGUCACACCAAAUCUCUCCUUUUUUUUUCCCUGGAGGAGUGUGUGAUUGAUUUGCUCUGAAUGUAAAAUUUGGCCAAAGAUUGUUACUCUUUGAACUCCUCCACAUUCCUUCUCCCGCUGUUCCAUGACUGAUUUGCAACAUUACCUGUUAAUACUGUUUGUUGGUGAAGCUUCUUGUCGACUCAUCUGUCACCAGCAGUUACUGAAUGUCCCCCAGUGUGCAGAAUACUGAUGAAAUGCCUGAAUUCUUGCAGUGCUACAAAAUGCCAUUCUGGAGAAGACAAAGACUUGGGGCAUUUGUUUUCACUUUUUCUCCCCUCCCUCCUGUAAAUUUACUGAGUUUGAAAUCUUUUUACUCCUUCAUGUGUAAUGUGGAGAAUGUGUAUCAGUUGUUUGUUCUUAUAGUCUUGCCAUUUGGAAGACUGGCAUUCCAGAGGAGUGUUUUGUAUAGCUCAAGGAAUUUCAGUCACUUGGGUGUUCAGAGACUUAUUGCAGAUCGUUUUAGACUAAUGUAUCAAGAAAAAUAAACUGAUCCUUUUUAUUCUUUAAUUACACUUAAUAAUAGAAACAAAAGCUCUGUGUCUGGAACAACUUGGUAAUUGGGGCUUAUUUGAUAGCCUGUUUGUAAAGUGUUGCCGUUAACUAAAGCUACCUGAUUCAGCAUUCAUAAAAUGAAAUGACAGCAGUUUUUCUAAUGUGACAUUCAUAGUUCAUAAUAAUGAACUCCAAGGAAGGUACUUAAUCCUGAAGUGCACCUUCCUGCGUGUCAGUUGGAUACAAUUGCUGUCAAUAUUAAUAGCAUUUGUCUAACAGCCCUUUCUUCUGGAGAGGUAGGUACUAAAAAGGUGGUUGGCUGUUUGUCCACUUUCAGGUUUUGGAUGACCACUUGAAGCACUAAGAUUACUUAACUUGGAGUCAAGAUUGCAUUUUUUUUUUUUUGGGGGCAGAGCAAUUUUGCUGGGUAAUAUAUAUGUUAAAUUCUUUAAAACUUUAACAGGUAGCUACUUGAGAAAAAUCUUGUUUUGUAAAAUGUAGGAUAAAAAGUAUGAAUUCUAGAUUGUUUGAUGAUUGCAUUAAGGCUAGAUUUUUCUCUCCUAAGAAAAAAUGGUUGAUCAAAGGAAGGCAUGAUUAGUAAAUUGACCCUAGUUGCCCCAGCAAAAAUUCACUUUCAGAUGCUGAGUGAAACUGAGUGAAUGUACUUUAUUUCUGAUAGAUUACAAGUGACAUGUAACAGCUAACUUAAGAUUUUCUCAAAACUUUCUCCUUCAGAUGGGUGAAAAAUAGUGUCAUUCUUGAUGUUAUUUGACUCAUUUAAAGUGGUCAUUUACCUUUACUUAGUAAUUGAGCAGUAGAGACGGAUGCUUAUUUCAUUUAAUCCUAGUCUCCUUGGGGAAAAUAUUGUACUGUCACUUUUAUGAAGUUACUUAACUCUUAACUAUUAAUGCACUCCAGUGUUGGAACAUACAAUUUACUCUUUUCACUGUUUAAGGAAAACAACAUUUCAGGAACAUUUAAUCACAGUGUUGGUGGCGCCCACUGUCGCUGUGGUCUCGCCUUUCCUGUUACUUUGUAACAGGGUUUGGCCCAGUGCCUGCCUGUGCAGUGGACAUGCAGUCAGUGUUCCGACUAAUUGGAUGAAUGGCAGGGGAAAGCUCGCACGCAGUCCCCCACUACCAUAAAUUACACAGUCGAGUUUCCCCUAUUUGAGGAAAUCGCAGAGGUCAACACACCGGAGUGCAACGGGUGAGCCUCGCCCUGGGAGAACCACCUUCUUGAUAAUGGUGUCUCCUCUGCCAGCCAGAUGGAUGGAAGAAGACUGACCUUCUGCCAGCAUGCAUCUGUCCCUUUGGGUCACCUGUGGAUGGCACUUAGUGUUCAAGAUACACCUGAGCUUUGUAAGUUCACACUACUGUGCUAAGUUCAAUCACCAUUGGAGCAGCUGAAAUGGAAACAACAAAUUACAAAGCACAAGGAUUCUGGAGGAUAUAUCUGUAAUUUCUCUAAAAAUUGCUCCCUGCAUCACUCAUAUUCAAAUGAGUAUACGACAAAGUGAAUCAGUUAUACAUCCAUCCACUUUUAAAGCGAGGAGGAGCUUCCUGAUUUGGAAUGUUCUGCAUAAGGCAAAUACCACAGGACAAAGUCUGUGAGAUCAAUCCACACUAGUCUGCCAACUGAUCUUUCAGCUUCCACCAUUCUCCAAUCAGAAGCCAGGAUGAACUUUUAAUUAUAAAUUAGAAUAUGUCAUUCGCUUCCUUGAAACACUUCAAUGGGGGCUUCCCUGGGUGGUCUAGCAGUUAAGAAUCUGACUGCCAAUACAGGGAACGCGGGCUCAAUUCCUGAUCCAGGAAGAUUCCACGUGUCACGGAGCAAGUAAGCCCAAGUACCGCAACUGCUGAGCCCACACAAAUUAGAGCCCUCCUUCGCAACAAGAGAAGACACCACAGUGAGAAGCCUGCACGGCCCAACUAUGCGGCAGUCCCCACUCACUGCAGCCAAAGAAAGCCUGUGCGUAGCGACAAAAACCUAGUGGAGCCAAAAGUAAAUAAAAAAAUCUUAAAAAAAAAAAAAAAAAGCCACCUGGAGCAUUCCCAUUUCCUUAGAAUGAAAUAGAAAUUUUCACCAGGGCUUACCCAGACCCACUUCCCCUUUGCCCACCCGUCUUCACUUCUUCCCACUCUCCCUCUGGUUGACAUACUUUAUUACCAUGUUUCCAACAUGUUCCCUUCAGUCCCACCACCAGAGGAUCUGAAGAAAGCUUCCCUUCUCUGUUGCAAUUUUGUGGGGUUUUCACAUUUGGAUCUCGGCUUAUAAGUCAUCGUCUCAGAGAGGCCCUUUCUGCCUUCUCUGACCAGGCAGAGGAUCAUGUAGGGCACUGACAAAGGGUUCAACAGUGGUUUAUUAGGUUAGUGAGAAAGGGGAGUGAGAGUGUUUUAUACACUAUUAAGCAUAAAAUGCAUGUGAACAUUUGUUAGUUGUUUUUUUUUAAGUAACAAAUGCAUGUAAUAAAAUGUACACUAAUAAAUGAGACCAUGUCUUCAUGGUCACUAUGAGAGAAAGACUGCUCUAGACCUUGUAUUCCAUAAGCAUACACUUAAGAUGUGGAGUAAGACGGAGAACGCUGGAAAUUAUCUAAUUGUCCAGAAAUGAUAACUAAAAAACUCAUUAGCCGCAUGUCUGAGUGUGAAUGCCUGGCAAGUAGGAGGCUUCUUACAGAAGGGAGGUAGAGGCAAGUCUUGAGAUCUGUACAAAGACUCGAUUUACGUUUCAGGAGGUAAUGUGAGGGUGAGGACAAUAAAAUUAUUGUUGCUGAUUUCUUUUUCAUUUUCAUUUCUAUGAAUCAGAAUGUUACUGUAUAAGCUAUAUAAGUGAAUACGAUUUAAGAUAUUUCAUAAAUAGAUUCCAUUUUUCUUCUCUUGAAAUCAGCGACGUUCUAUUCCCUGGCUAUUAAA